UACAGAGGUGGCAAGCGUUGUUCGGAAUUACUGGGCGUAAAGGGCGCGUAGGCGGCCAUCUAAGUCAGACGUGAAAUCCCCCGGCUUAACCUGGGAACUGCGUCUGAUACUGGAAGGCUUGAGUAUGGGAGAGGGAUGUAGAAUUCCAGGUGUAGCGGUGAAAUGCGUAGAUAUCGGGAGGAACACCAGUGGCGAAGGCGAUCUUCUGGACGGAUACUGACGUUGAGGCGCGAAAGCUAGGGGAGCAAACGGG
rnacentral:rRNA from 1 species